UUUAUAGGUCUUUGGAUUGAGAGGAGCCACUCCUAAGGGGUCUUGUCGUCACCCGAACCUUGUCUUCAAGCCCGAUAGUACAAUUAGUAAGAAAACUGAAGCAUUAAACAUCUUGUGAUUUUCUCAGAUCGGUGUUUCAGUUGCUUAUUGCUUUAUCAACCAAGAAAUGGAACAGUACCUCUGCUCACAAAAUAAGCAUAAAUGUUAAAGACCCAUAAAAAAUUGUCUCAACAGCCUGAGCCAUCACAUAAAAGUUUGACUGCUCUCACAGAGAAACCACAUGGAAGGAUCACCUGGAGAAGAAAUGUUUUGAAAACACAUACAGAAGAAAAGACAUCCAGCUAUCUUAGCAUCCCAGAGACCUGUAGAACUAUUCAGCUGAGCUC
rnacentral:lncRNA from 1 species